rnacentral:lncRNA from 1 species
GGGAGCAUAAAUCUAGGCGAAGAGAAGCUAGUGACCAUGACAGGGACAAAAGAAGGCGUUCUUCGUCAGUAAGCAGUAGAGGUAGAACCAGCAAGGAUCAUAGUCUUGCCGAUGAUUCAAGUGGUGAAGGCUCAGAUGGCUCGAAAAGGUUCAGAACAAAUUCCAUUUUCCCUUCAUUUUUCAUGGUUGUCAUAUAGUGCCUAAUUUCAUUUUUGUACUGCAGGAUGCUGCGUUCAAGAAAACGUGACUUGUCACCAUCUCCGGUCAGGUCUAAAAGAAGGUAUUAUUUAAAAAG